GAAAAGUUCUAGAUUUGCGUGUAAUAUUAUUUUAUUAAAGAAUGUGUGGUUGAAAUGAUUUCAAAAUACUAUUUAAAAAUGUAUUUUUUUUUCAAAGAAUGAGGCUCAAACAGGGGCUAUAUGCCAAAAGUUUUAUUAUCAAAUUGAUGUGGGAGUGGUACAUGACUCUGUUAGAGCCUGAUGUAAAACCUUUGGUCAACCAAAGGCAAUGCGGUGUUAAUUUUGAAGCCGGUUUUGGCCAUCUCUUUUGCAAUGUGAAUGGUUUCAUGUACUAUUCUGCUGUCUCAUAUCUUUAGACAUUGGCACUGCUGAUUUUUUGGGGAACAAGUCAAUGGACGUAGUGAUCCUAUUGUUCCUUAGUUAAACUUAUUUAAAUAAAAAAUAAUAAUUUUUAUAGCAUCGUGUUGCUAUGUCGGUUCGUGAGCCACAUGACCCUUUCUUGAGUUGCAAAUUGCAAUGUACAGGGGCACGAUGAAUUGGCACUUUUUGAGUUACCACAAUGCGGGACGAUGAAUUGGCACUUUUGAGUUACCACAAUGCUAUCUCAGUAUGUGAAUUACCUUUUGUUUUUAUCCAUCUUGUUCUGUUUCAAGUUUCGGAGUGUCAGAGUUCGAGUUAUUUGUGGUGCUGUUCAAUUACCUUUUUUCCUUUCGGUAAUUAUUGGGUUCUGCUUGUGCGAUGUUCGGUGACAUAUCUCUAAAGAUAUUUAUUUCAAAAGCAUUUGAAAUUGCCAUGGCACUGCAAAGGAGAAAUGCACUGGAGUAUUUUUGAAUGAUUGGUAUUUAGAAUUACAAGAGUAAUGCAUCAGAGUAAUUUUUGUGUUUGGUAUGCAGAAUUAGACAGGAUUUGUGUAGUACAAUGAGCAUGAGCGUUCUCUUGUUUUCUUUGAUUUUGUUCAUUGCUAUCCCAUCCUCUCUACCAAAAUUCCACCAAUGUGUAUGAUGCACCAACUGGUUCAUUCAUCUAGCUAUAAACUAGAAUCACUAAUACAAAUUUCCCAAUAUCGAAAAUUUUUUUAUAGUACACUUUUCCUUUGGGCUCUCCCUACCAUUUUUGGGGCUCUUCUUAGCAAUUCUAAGGUGGUUCUGCUGUUAAACUGAUUUCGUUGCUGG
rnacentral:lncRNA from 1 species